UGAUUGCUCUCUAAUAAGUUU
rnacentral:piRNA from 1 species